rnacentral:misc_RNA from 1 species
UAUCCGUAGGUGAACCUGCGGAGGGAUCAUUACAGAGUUCUCGCCCUCACGGGUAGAUCUCCCACCCACUGUUAUCGUUACUGUCGUUUCUUUGGCGGGCCGCCGGGUCCCCAGCGGCCGGCGCCUAGCUGCCGGCGCGCGCCCGCCAGAGGCCUUCAAACUCUGACUGUUAGUGUCGUCUGAAUACUAUAUAAUAGUUAAAACUUUCAACAACGGAUCUCUUGGUUCUG